CCAUUUCUUCGAACCCUUCAAUAUUUCUUCGAAAAUGUCAAAUCAAAUCCGACGGCCGAACAGAUCCGUGCCACCGUCAACAACUUCGCCGAUGACAUCUAAAGCAUCACCGGUUUGAUACUUUCGAAAGAAGAAUGGAGGGGAAUCUUUGAUUUUCCAUUUCUUCGGACCCUUCAAUAUUUCUUCGAAAAUGUCAAAUCAAAUCCAACGGCCGAACAGAUCCAUGCCACCGUCAACAACUUCGCCGACGACAUCUACAGCAUCGCCGGGGAAGUAUCGCCAGAAGAGGGGAGGGGAAUCUUUGAUUUUUCGUUUCUUCGGACCCCAAAUCAAAUUAAAAAAUUAAAUCCAAAUUGCAGAAUCGAACGGAAAUUUCUUCGAAUCCGAAUCAAAUUGCAAAAUCAAAAGAGGAUUGCCUCGAACACGAAAUAGAAUUGAAAAGAAAAUCAAGUUCACAUACGAAUCCAAAUCCGAGUCACGUUCACCUACAAACCUAAAUCAAAUCAAACCCAAACCUAACCCAAACCAAGUCCACAUAAAAACCCAAACCAAAUCUACAAAUAAACCCAAACCAAUCCAAACCAAGUCCACAAAAUAAACCCACAAAUAAACCCAAACCCAAAACCCAAAUAAACCUAAACCCAAAACCCAAAUAAACCCAAACUUGAACCCAAAUAAAUCCAAACCUAAACCAAGUCCACACAUAAAACCAAAACCCAAACUCAAAUCAAAUCCAAACCCAACCUGAACCAAAACCAAAUCUCAUGGACCAAAUUCCAUAAACCAAAACCAAACCUCAUAGACCAAAUCCCAUGAACCAAAACCAAACCUCAUGGACCAAAUCCCAUGAACCAUAACCAAAUCUCAUGGACCAAAUUCCAUGAACCAAAACCAAACCUCAUGGACCAAAUCCCAUGAACCAAAAUCAAACCUCAUGGACCAAAUCCCAUGAACCAAAACCAAAUCUCAUGGACCAAAUCCCAUGAACCAAAACAAAAUCUCAUGGACCAAAUCCCAUGAACCAAAACCAAACCUCAUGGACCAAAUCCCAUGAACCAAAACCAAAUCUCAUGGACCAAAUCCCAUGAACCAAAACCAAAUCUCAUGGACCAAAUCCCAUG
rnacentral:lncRNA from 1 species